UAGUCCACGCCCUAAACGAUGAACGCUAGUCGUUGUGAGGCUUUGACCUUGCAGUGACGCAGCUAACGCAUUAAGCAUUCCGCCUGGGGAGUACGGUCGCAAGAUUAAAACUCAAAGGAAUAGACGGGGACCCGCACAAGCGGUGGAGCAUGUGGUUUAAUUCGAAGAUACGCGAAGAACCUUACCUGGCCUUGACAUUGAUAGAAUCCGCUAGAGAUAGUGGAGUGCUGGUUUACCAGAGCUUGAAAACAGGUGCUGCACGGCUGUCGUCAGCUCGCGUCGUGAGAUGUUGGGUUAAGUCCCGCAACGAGCGCAACCCUUAUCCUUAGUUACUAACGGUUCGGCCGAGGACUCUAAGGAGACUGCCCUCGCAAGGGGGAGGAAGGUGAGGACGACGUCAAGUCAUCAUGGCCCUUACGGCCAGGGCCACACACGUGCUACAAUGGGAUGUUACAAUGAGACGCAAAGGCGCGAGCCCUAGCAAAACUAUAAAGCAUCU
rnacentral:rRNA from 1 species